rnacentral:rRNA from 1 species
GGCCCUUUCCGGGCGGGCCUACCAUGCAAGUCGAGGGGUAGAGUUAGCUUGCUAACUUGAGACCGGCGCACGGGUGCGUAACGCGUAUGCAAUCUACCUUGUACAGGGGGAUAGCCCAGAGAAAUUUGGAUUAAUACCCCAUGGUGUUUAGAAGUGGCAUCACUUUUUUACUAAAGUUCCAACGGUACAAGAUGAGCAUGCGUCCCAUUAGCUAGUUGGUAUGGUAACGGCAUACCAAGGCUAUGAUGGGUAGGGGUCCUGAGAGGGAGAUCCCCCACACUGGUACUGAGACACGGACCAGACUCCUACGGGAGGCAGCAGUGAGGAAUAUUGGUCAAUGGUCGCAAGACUGAACCAGCCAUGCCGCGUGCAGGAAGACGGUCCUAUGGAUUGUAAACUGCUUUUAUACAGGAAGAAACCCUCUCACGUGUGGGAGCUUGACGGUACUGUAUGAAUAAGCAUCGGCUAACUCCGUGCCAGCAGCCGCGGUAAUACGGAGGAUGCGAGCGUUAUCCGGAAUCAUUGGGUUUAAAGGGUCCGUAGGCGGUUUAAUAAGUCAGUGGUGAAAUCUGGUCGCUCAACGAUCAAACUGCCAUUGAUACUGUUAGACUUGAAUAAUUGUGAAGUAACUAGAAUAUGUAGUGAAGCGGUGAAAUGCUU